GAUUUCUGGCAAAGUGGGACGUGUCCGGGCCGAAAGGUUUCGUGUAUACGGGUCACUUGCCAUCCUUCCUGAUACUAGGCUAUGCCGGCAACGGUGUAGUUUACAUCUGGAUCUUUUACUUUGAAAAAAUUAGAGUGUUUAAAGCAGGCUAUCGCUAUGAAUACAUUAGCAUGGAAUAAUAAUUUAGGACUUUUGUCCUUUUGUUGGUUUUCCAGGAUGAAAGUAAUGAUUGAUAGGGACAGUUGGGGGUGCUAGUAUUUCGUCAACAGAGGUGAAAUUCUUGGACCGACGAAAGACUAACUUAUGCGAAAGCAUU
rnacentral:rRNA from 2 species